GUCGAACGAAGUCUUCGGACUGAGUGGCGGACGGGUGAGUAACGCGUGAGAAUCUGCCUAGAGGUCGGGGACAACCAUUGGAAACGAUGGCUAAUACCGGAUAUGCCUUACGGGGUGAAAGAUUAAUUGCCUUUAGAAGAGCUCGCGUCUGAUUAGCUAGUUGGUGAGGUAAGAGCUCACCAAGGCAGCGAUCAGUAGCUGGUCUGAGAGGAUGACCAGCCACACUGGGACUGAGACACGGCCCAGACUCCUACGGGAGGCAGCAGUGGGGAAUUUUCCGCAAUGGGCGAAAGCCUGACGGAGCAAGACCGCGUGAGGGAGGAAGGCUCUUGGGUUGUAAACCUCUUUUGUCAGGGAAGAACAAAAUGACGGUACCUGACGAAUCAGCAUCGGCUAACUCCGUGCCAGCAGCCGCGGCAAUACGGAGGAUGCAAGCGUUAUCCGGAAUUAUUGGGCGUAAAGCGUCCGCAGGUGGCUGAUCAAGUCUGCGGUCAAAGACCGGGGCUUAACCCUGGAAAGGCCGUGGAAACUGAUAGAGCUAGAGUACCGUAGGGGUAGAGGGAAUUCCCGGUGUAGCGGUGAAAUGCGUAGAGAUCGGGAAGAACAUCGGUGGCGAAAGCGCUCUACUGGACGGUGACUGACACUCAGGGACGAAAGCUAGGGGAGCGAAUGGGAUUAGAUACCCCAGUAGUCCUAGCCGUA
rnacentral:rRNA from 1 species